rnacentral:snoRNA from 1 species
ACGACCUUACUUGAACAGGAUCUGUUCUAUAGGCUCGUACCACUGUAUCCUUGAGUUCUAAGGAGACAGGAAACCAAGUCUGGUUGAUGAGACAUGGCCACUAGACUAGAGCGUGAUUAAUAGCUCCAUGGCCCUCGGGUCAUUGUGUUGUAGAUGAUCGUUCUCAGUCCCUAAUUAUAGGUGUUGGGAUGGUCUAAUGGCUGUCUGACAGACU